rnacentral:rRNA from 1 species
UUGAGCGGAGAUAUAUGGAGCUUGCUUUAUAUAACUUAGCAGCGAACGGGUGAGUAACACGCAGAUAAUCUAUCCUAUACUGGGGGAUAGCCCGAUGAAAGUUGGAUUAAUACCGCAUAUAGCUAUAUAGUUGCAUGAUUAUGUAGUGAAAGAUUUAUUGGUAUAGGAGGAGUCUGCGGCACAUUAGCUAGUAGGUGAGGUAAAGGCUUACCUAGGCGACGAUGUGUAGCCGGUCUGAGAGGAUGAACGGCCACAAUGGAACUGAGACACGGUCCAUACUCCUACGGGAGGCAGCAGUGGGGAAUAUUGCACAAUGGGGGAAACCCUGAUGCAGCAACGCCGCGUGAGUGAAGAAGGUUUUCGGAUUGUAAAGCUCUGUUAGCAGGGAAGAGGAAGGACGGUACCUGCAGAGGAAGCCACGGCUAACUACGUGCCAGCAGCCGCGGUAAUACGUAGGUGGCAAGCGUUGUUCGGAAUAACUGGGCGUAAAGGAUGCGUAGGCGGUUAAACAAGUUAUAUGUUAAAUAUAUAGGCUUAACCUGUAGAAAGCAUAUAAAACUGUUUAACUAGAAUGCAGGAGAGGUAAGUGGAAUUCCUAGUGUAGCGGUGAAAUGCGUAGAGAUUAGGAAGAACACCAGUGGCGAAGGCGACUUACUGGACUGUAACUGACGCUGAGGCAUGAGAGCAUGGGGAGCAAACAGGAUUAGAUACCCUGGUAGUCCAUGCUGUAAACGAUGGGUACUA